GAUUGGGCUGUAGUACAUUUCACUUAACACUAAACAAGUAUUUAUAGAGUACCGGCUGUGUCGUGGCAGUGCUAAAAGCAUCGUGAGUGCGAGGGAUAAAAAUAAUUAAAGCACAGAUUAGAGACAUAAACAAAUGCUUAGAAUACAAGAGGAGGUGCGAUAAGAGCCAGGGCAGAGGGGGACACAAAUGCCCCAGGAAGCGAGAACAGAGCACGGGGCACAGGAGCACAGGGCGGCCAAAGAGGCCCCACAAAGAGCCCUGAUGUGGGCACCAACCAGGGCCAAGGCCACAAAGGCGCAGCAGGGAGGCGCAGCAGGGAGACUGGCAGGGUGUGAGCGGAACUGCCACACGCGUCAGCCUCCAGAGCCGGAGUCGCUGCACCGCUCAAAGGGGCCCCUGGAAAGGACCUGGUCUUCAAGAUGCACCCACCCCCGGAUCCAGAUCCCCGGAACCACAAGCUGCUGGGAGACCUGUGACCCCCUAGAAUCCCAACAUCAGAGUUUGGAAGGAUCCUCAAGGGCCAGCAAACACCUGUUCUACGUGGAGAUCAACACACACAGGACCCAAGAGGAGAGGGCGCGCCCAGCGGGCCGGCCAUCGGACUCCCGUUCCCUUGCCACACUCACGCAGCUCGGCACUUCCUCUUCACAACAGCAGAGGUCAGGAGCCGUCCGCGUCACACACUUCUCCUCCCGGUGGAACCAGCUCAUCUCGGUCUCUAUACAUUUGGAGCAUCUGCUAGGCGCCUGCCAAGCCUGAAUCAUGGAACCAUUGGAUUUCAUGGGUGGAAACAUCUUAGAGUUCCUGGCUCAGGGAGCAAGCUCUGUCCUCUGGACAACUGACCCUCUGGUCAAGGUGCCCCAGCUUCACUCCCCUUCCCCGACUCCUCUCUGUCCCCCGCACGACCCAGACAAGCCCAGCCCGGCCCCCAGCCCAUGUUUUUGCUGUUUCUUUGCUCCUGUGCAGUUGUCCAGACCAGCCUAGGACGUCCCCAACCAGGACAGGUGUGACGAGACCUCUGGUCCAGCAUGGGCACGGUAGCUGCAGCCUUGGAGUCUCUGUAGGCCUUUAUGUAAGAAAAGGCUGGGAGAAUGCUCCCAGCUUCAGGAAACUACAUAUUGUGCAUUAAAGAAGAGGGGACUUGGGGCUGACACCGUAGUGUAGCAGGUAAAGCUGCCGCCUGCAGUGCUGGCAUCCCAUGUGGGCACUGGUUCGACUCCCAGCUGCUCCACUUCCAAUCCAGCUCUCUGCUGUGGCCUGGGAAAGCAGUAGAAGAUGGCCCAAGUCCUUGAGCCCCUGCACCCACAUGGGAGACCUGGAGGAAGCUCCUGGCUCCUGGCUCCUGGCUCCUGGCUUCGGAUUGGCACAGCUCCAGCUGCUGCGGCCAACUGGGGAGUGAACCAGUGGAUGGAAGACCUCUCUUCUCUCUGCCUCUCCUUCUCUCUCUGUCUAACUCUGACUUUCAAGUAAAUAAAUGAAUCUUAAAGAAGAAGAAGAUACCUUGG
rnacentral:lncRNA from 1 species